UACCUGCAGCUCGAGUGGUAACCGCUAUUAUUGGGCCUAAAGCGUCCGUAGCCGGUUUGGUAAAUAUCUGGGUAAAUCGUGAGGCUUAACUUCACGAAUUUCGGAUAGACUGCCAGACUUGGGAUCGGGGGAGGUCAGAGGUACUCCAGGGGUAGCGGUGAAAUGUUGUAAUCCUUGGAGGACCACCGGUAGCGAAGGCGUCUGACUAGAACGAGUCCGACGGUGAGGGACGAAGCCCUGGGGGCGCAAACCGGAUUAGAUACCCGGGUAGUCCAGGGUGUAAACGAUGUGGGCUUUGUAUUGGAGGUCCCACGUGGGCGUCCAGUGCAGAAGAGAAGUUGUUAAGCCCACCGCCUGGGAAGUACGGUCGCAAGGCUGAAACUUAAAGGAAUUGGCGGGGGAGCGACCACGAAGGCGUGAAGCUUGCGGUUC
rnacentral:rRNA from 1 species